CCUGAUGCAGCGACGCCGCGUGAGGGAUGACGGCCUUCGGGUUGUAAACCUCUUUCAGUAGGGAAGAAGCGUAAGUGACGGUACCUGCAGAAGAAGCGCCGGCUAACUACGUGCCAGCAGCCGCGGUAAUACGUAGGGCGCAAGCGUUAUCCGGAAUUAUUGGGCGUAAAGAGCUCGUAGGCGGUUUGUCGCGUCUGCCGUGAAAGUCCGGGGCUCAACUCCGGAUCUGCGGUGGGUACGGGCAGACUAGAGUGAUGUAGGGGAGACUGGAAUUCCUGGUGUAGCGGUGAAAUGCGCAGAUAUCAGGAGGAACACCGAUGGCGAAGGCAGGUCUCUGGGCAUUAACUGACGCUGAGGAGCGAAAGCAUGGGGAGCGAACAGGAUUAGAUACCCUGGUAGUCCAUGCCGUAAACGUUGGGCACUAGGUGUGGGGGACAUUCCACGUUUUCCGCGCCGUAGCUAACGCAUUAAGUGCCCCGCCUGGGGAGUACGGCCGCAAGGCUAAAACUCAAAGGAAUUGACGGGGGCCCGCACAAGCGGCGGAGCAUGCGGAUUAAUUCGAUGCAACGCGAAGAACCUUACCAAGGCUUGACAUGAACCGGAAACGCCUGGAAACAGGUGCCCCACUUGUGGU
rnacentral:rRNA from 1 species